UACGAAGGGUGCAAGCGUUGUCCGGAAUCACUGGGCGUAAAGGGCGCGUAGGCGGCUCAUGAAGGCUGUGGUGAAAGUCCGGGGCUCAACCUCGGAUCGGCCGUGGCGACUCGUGGGCUGGAGCACUGUAGAGGCGAGUGGAAUUCCGGGUGUAGCGGUGGAAUGCGUAGAGAUCCGGAAGAACACCAGUGGCGAAGGCGGCCCGCUGGGCAGUGGCUGACGCUGAGGCGCGACAGCGUGGGGAGCAAACAGG
rnacentral:rRNA from 1 species